rnacentral:rRNA from 1 species
ACAUGCAAGUCGAGGCAGCAUUUUAGUUUGCUUGCUAACUGAAGAUGGCGACCGGCGCACGGGUGAGUAACACGUAUCCAACCUGCCGAUAACUCCGGGAUAGCCUUUCGAAAGAAAGAUUAAUACCGGAUGGCAUACGAAUAUCGCAUGAUAUUUUUAUUAAAGAAUUUCGGUUAUCGAUGGGGAUGCGUUCCAUUAGUUUGUUGGCGGGGUAACGGCCCACCAAGACUACGAUGGAUAGGGGUUCUGAGAGGAAGGUCCCCCACAUUGGAACUGAGACACGGUCCAAACUCCUACGGGAGGCAGCAGUGAGGAAUAUUGGUCAAUGGGCGAGAGCCUGAACCAGCCAAGUAGCGUGAAGGAUGAAGGCUCUAUGGGUCGUAAACUUCUUUUAUAUGGGAAUAAAGUUUUCCACGUGUGGAAUUUUGUAUGUACCAUAUGAAUAAGGAUCGGCUAACUCCGUGCCAGCAGCCGCGGUAAUACGGAGGAUCCGAGCGUUAUCCGGAUUUAUUGGGUUUAAAGGGAGCGUAGGUGGAUUGUUAAGUCAGUUGUGAAAGUUUGCGGCUCAACCGUAAAAUUGCAGUUGAAACUGGCAGUCUUGAGUACAGUAGAGGUGGGCGGAAUUCGUGGUGUAGCGGUGAAAUGCUUAGAUAUCACGAAGAACUCCGAUUGC